UAAGGAAUAUUGCUCAAUGGGAGAAAUCCUGAAGCAGCAACGCCGCGUGGAGGAUGAAGGGUCUAUGACUUGUAAACUCCUGUAAAGAAGGAAAAAAUUCCCAUUUGAUGGGAGAUGAUGGUACUUCUGGGGUAAGCCCCGGCUAACUACGUGCCAGCAGCCGCGGUAAUACGUAGGGGGCAAGCGUUGUCCGGAUUUACUGGGUGUAAAGGGUGCUCAGGCGGAUUUGUAAGUCAGAGGUGAAAUCUUACAGCUUAACUGUGAAACUGCCUUUGAUACGGCAAGCCUAGAGUAUGGAAGAGAGUGAUGGAAUAUCUGGUGUAGCAGUGAAAUGCGUAGAUAUCAGAUAGAACACCAAUGGCGAAGGCAGUCACUUGGUCCAUUACUGACGCUAAAGCACGAAAGCGUGGGUAGCAAACA
rnacentral:rRNA from 1 species